rnacentral:rRNA from 1 species
GAUGAACGCUGGCGGCGUGCCUAAUACAUGCAAGUCGAGCGAACAGAUAAGGAGCUUGCUCCUUUGACGUUAGCGGCGGACGGGUGAGUAACACGUGGGUAACCUACCUAUAAGACUGGGAUAACUUCGGGAAACCGGAGCUAAUACCGGAUAACAUUUGGAACCGCAUGGUUCUAAAGUGAAAGAUGGUUUUGCUAUCACUUAUAGAUGGACCCGCGCCGUAUUAGCUAGUUGGUAAGGUAACGGCUUACCAAGGCGACGAUACGUAGCCGACCUGAGAGGGUGAUCGGCCACACGGGAACGGAGACACGGGCCAGACUCCUACGGGAGGCAGCAGAAGGGAAUCUUCCGCAAUGGGCGAAAGCCUGACGGAACAACGCCGCGUGAGUGAUGAAGGGUUUCGGCUCGUAAAACUCUGUUAUUAGGGAAGAACAAACGUGUAAGUAACUGUGCACGUCUUGACGGUACCUAAUCAGAAAGCCACGGCUAACUACGUG